ensembl:lncRNA
AAAGAAGAUAAGUAUGCUAGCCAGCAAAUGCAUUGAUCAUUUGCAAGAAGCACGCCUUUCUUCAAAAUAUUUUCUCCAAGUAUUUUAGUUUCCUCCAGAUGAUAUUCUAAUGACUAGAGCUAACAGUUCUGAAGACAUGGCCUUUUUUUUUCUAUGCACAGUGCAGUUGCAAGACAGAUAAUGCUUUUGGGAGACCACUCUGCAUCACCAUAUAAUUUUCUUCAGAAUUUCUGUUGGAUCUUUGCAAAGAACUUUUGAAUAUCCAGAAAAGAGAUUUUUCUUUUUCAAGGAAAUGUAUUCACAGCAUUGCACUAAACCCUACAUAAUUAUUGAAAUGUUAGUCCUGGUAGACAAAUGUCCCAACAUUGCAUACAUGCACAUUAAAGAUUUUAGUUAGGGACUUUUACAAAGUCUCUGUAAUGUUCAGAGAAUAUUUUGGAAAUUUAAAAUCUCUUAAACCUUGCUUCCUUCAGAGAGGACACGAUAUAAAAUUAUUUAAAGUAUGCCUUUUUUUUUUUUUUUUUUUACUAUAGAAAUCAUAGCCAGGUUUGCAGGUACUAUUUCUUUCAUUUGUAAUAAAGUGUCAGAAGGUAUAUAAUUUCAGAAGUACCUGAACUAGAGCUUUUGUCAUCAUUUUUGUGGGCUUUGUUUUCGCACCAAGGUGUCGCACAGAAGAGCUAAUUAUUGGGAUAACUUUGACGGACAAUUUUUGAUUAAGUUAACAGCAGAUCUUUUAGGCAGCUUGUGAUGCCACUCUGAGAUAUUGAUAACUGGACUGCAUCAGUUAGCCAGGCUGGAGUGCAUCCAUUUCUCUCUUUACCUUUCUGGAAGAUCAAGCAGCUGAAUUCAACUAGAUGAAUCUAGGAAAUGGAUUAAAGAUGAGAAAGUCUAAUGUCAUUUAUAUGGUGGCUUCAUUCCUCUCAUAAGUGGUUUGAUUCAAGAUUUCCAGCAUUCGAUACUGUACUUUUUGUCUCAUUUAAUCUACCUACCAAGUAUGGUAAGAAACUUCACAUACUCAGAAAAUACUUCUUUCAACUUAAACAUUUUGGAAGAUAUGCCUUAAUUCCAGAUUUAUAUCACAUGGAUUCAAAUCUAGUAGUGCUGUGAAGUUGUGAUUGCCAUAAUGCACUGUGUGCUGAGCUGCCUUUGCAGACCACAGUAGCGUGGCUGGAUGAUAGCGUGCAGCACCUCUGGCUGUGAAUCAGCAAUGUGGCACAGCUUGGAAAGCUCUGCUAACUAGCUGCCACUCUGAUCGUUGCUAGCCAACACAGUUCAUGGCCACUUCAGCAUGAAAAACUGAAAGUACUACUGGGCAAAUCUGUGGUGUUGCCUGUUGACCUACCCCUUGCUGCAGUGAUUAAGAUCUGCUCAGUUGAAAGAUAAUCCAGCCCUGGUACCUUGUCACCCUGAGGAGGCACAGUCUGAAGCCACACAGGUGACUUCCAGUGAUACUUAACUGUGCUUUUAACACAUGCAUAUACAAGCAGACAGAUUCCUUUCUCCUUUCCUAUGAAGCAUUUGUAACUAGAGGUGUAGAGUAGUUACUAGUUUAUUUUAGGCAUCCUUUGGAAAGAUUUUGUCUACCUGGAAGUAUAGAAUAAACAUGUGAUUGUUCUG